GGCGGCGUAGCUCAGCUGGCUAGAGCAUUCGGUUCAUACCCGACAGGUCCGGGGUUCAAGUCCCUGCGCCGCUA
rnacentral:tRNA from 1 species